rnacentral:rRNA from 1 species
GACGAACGCUGGCGGCGUGGAUUAGGCAUGCAAGUCGAACGGUGUCAUCCUUUCGGGGGUGAGAGAGUGGCGAACUGGUGAGUAACACGUAGGUUAUCUACCCUCAAGACGGGGACAACCCAGGGAAACUUGGGCUAAUACCGGAUGUGAGCAACUUUUAGUUGUUUGAAAGGUGGCGUAAGCUGUCGCUUGGGGAUGAGCCUGCGUCCUAUUAGUUAGUUGGUGAGGUAACGGCUCACCUAGGCAAUGAUAGGUAGGCGGCCUUAACGGGUGGUCGCCCACACUGGGAUUGAGAUACGGCCCAGACUCCUACGGGAGGCAGCAGUCGAGAAUAGUCUACAAUGGUCGGAAGACUGAUAGUGCGACGCCGCGUGAACGAUGAAUCCCUUCGGGGUGUAAAGUUCUUUUAUAUGUGAGCAGUGCUUCUUAUAUUAACAGUAUGGGGAGAGAGAUAUUAGCAUAUGAAUAAGCAACGGCUAACUCCGUGCCAGCAGCCGCGGUAAACU